UAAUACAGAGGGUGCAAGCGUUGUUCGGAAUUAUUGGGCGUAAAGCGCGUGUAGGCUGCGACGUAUGUCGGGUGUGAAAGCCCUCGGCUCAACUGAGGAAGUGCGCCCGAAACUACGUUGCUCGAGUGCUGGAGAGGGUAGCGGAAUUCCCGGUGUAGAGGUGAAAUUCGUAGAUAUCGGGAGGAACACCAGUGGCGAAGGCGGCUACCUGGACGGACACUGACGCUGAGACGCGAAAGCGUGGGGAGCAAACAGGAUUAGAUACCCUGGUAGUCCACGCUGUAAACGAUGGGAACUAGGUGUGGCGGGUGUUGACCCCUGCCGUGCCGAAGCUAACGCAUUAAGUUCCCCGCCUGGGAAGUACGGCCGCAAGGUUAAAACUCAAAGGAAUUGACGG
rnacentral:rRNA from 1 species